rnacentral:rRNA from 1 species
GAUGAACGCUGGCGGCGUGCCUAAUACAUGCAAGUCGAGCGAACAGACGAGGAGCUUGCUCCUUUGACGUUAGCGGCGGACGGGUGAGUAACACGUGGGUAACCUACCUAUAAGACUAGGAUAACUUCGGGAAACCGGAGCUAAUACCGGAUAAUAUUUCGAACCGCAUGGUUCGAUAGUGAAAGAUGGCUUUGCUAUCACUUAUAGAUGGACCUGCGCCGUAUUAGCUAGUUGGUAAGGUAACGGCUUACAAAGGCAACGAUCCGUAGCCGACCUGAGAGGGUGAUCGGCCACACUGGAACUGAGACACGGUCCAGACUCCUACGGGAGGCAGCAGUAGGGAAUCUUCCGCAAUGGGCGAAAGCCUGACGGAGCAACGCCGCGUGAGUGAUGAAGGUCUUCGGAUCGUAAAACUCUGUUAUUAGGGAAGAACAAACGUGUAAGUAACUGUGCACGUCUUGACGGUACCUAAUCAGAAAGCCACGGCUAACUACGUGCCAGCAGCCGCCGUAA